CCAGCACCCCGAGUGGUCGGGACGAUUAUUGGGCCUAAAGCAUCCGUAGCCGGUUCUACAAGUCUUCCGUUAAAUCCAUCUGCUUAACAGAUGGGCUGCGGAGGAUACUAUGGAGCUAGGAGGCGGGAGAGGCAAGCGGUACUUAGUGGGUAGGGGUAAAAUCCGUUGAUCCACUGAAGACCACCAGUGGCGAAGGCGGCUUGCCAGAACGCGCUCGACGGUGAGGGAUGAAAGCUGGGGGAGCAAACCGGAUUAGAUACCCGGGUAGUCCCAGCUGUAAACGAUGCAGACUCGGUGAUGAAUAGGCUUCGUGCCUUUUCAGUGCCGCAGGGAAGCCGUUAAGUCUGCCGCCUGGGGAGUACGGUCGCAAGACUG
rnacentral:rRNA from 1 species